AGCAUCCCCUGCGAGCCCUGCAGUGGUCUUGGCCUGGCCGUACCCUCCGCACCCCCACGCCGCGAGUCUCCACGCGACUAGGACGCCGGCUCAGGCCCUGUGGCUCCGCACCAUUGCUGCAGAUGCUCUCCCAAGCUUUGGUUUUCCCGGGCCAACUCUGUCCUUGUUUUCCUCCUCCGUCUCUGGCCGCUGCCUUUUGACACCUCAGCAGCUUCUUUUCCUCCUGGGUAGGUCCUGAGUCAGUUCCCAAGGCGGCCUGACCCUUCCCUCGGCGUCACUGCCCCCCGCCAAAUUCAAGCACCCGAGCGCCGAAACUGUAUCCCACCCUGCAUCCCGUUACCUGUUCCACGUACCACAAACAUCUCACAUCUCUCCUCAAAUUGCUUCUCUCAUGGUCUUCAGUUUCUCAGAACAUGCCUCUGCCACUCCCUAGAUGCACCCCGGGCAGUCUAAUUGCCCCGUCACAGAACACCACCCAAACUAAAGACAACUUCAGUUACAGGAGAGCCUGUCUGAUGUUGAGCCAGACAAAGCAGGACCACGUACUGCAUUUCAGAGGAGAGCCCCUGGCUUCCGUAGGUGCCAGUGGACAGUGGGCACAUGGGCUGGCUACUCAGCAAGGGUGAGGGGAGGCCCUUGGCAUGGCUGGCCCUGGCCACAGGAGGCGUGAGUGCAGAAGUUGAGCGCUCACAGUGUGUGGCUUGGGCUUGCUGGGGCUUGAUGUCCUGCUCGUCCCUGUCUGCAGACUGGAGCUUCCCUGUGCUCAGUGCCGGUGCCAGGAGUCGGGAGAACAAGAGAAACUCGGCACUAGGCCCCCAGGAAUUCACAGAUUUAAGACAGAAGGAAAAACUGAGGCCCAGAGACGUUUAAGCUAAGAGGCGGCAGAAAUGGGAUUCAGUCCCAUCCAGAGUCCACAUCACAUUGCCUUCCACCUAGCACACGUUCCUGAUGCCACCCCUGUAGCAGUGAGACAGCAGAAGGAAUCGGACCAAGUUCCCACUCCAGGAGGGGAGAGAGAAAUGCAAGCAGACGUUUGUCAGCAGAAGACAUUUCAGUGUGGCCUGCUGCGGCUGCCCAGAAGUCCUUCACAGCUGUUCUUGACCAGCAUCUAGUUGCUCUGCACCUGCCCUCAGAAGAACGGUCCUUGCCAGAAAAGAUUCUAUGGGCACCAAGUACAGAGUGGAAGAAGAAAGGAAUGGAAACACUUGCAAGAAGAUGUCUGUUUAAUGGAAAUCCUGGGAGAAAAAGCAGAACAAACCAAGACGAGCACACACAGAUGUGAAUGAGCUCAGGACAAUCUUAUCAGUAGCUGGACUGUGCGUUACUGUGACUCUCAAAAGUCUUGAUCCUUUCAAUGACCUGUGAGACUGGAAGUACUGUAACCCUGGUUAUGACUGCAAGUAGACCAAUCCAAGUUUCUAGAAAGUGGCAAAGGCAGGAUACAUCAGAGGGACACACUUCAGCUCUGCUUUUUACCCUUCACAAACCAAAAAUUUUCAAUUAUCAAAAAUCCGUAAGUCACAUCAUACUUGAGUUAAAUUCCUUGAUGGAGCAGAGAUGGAGUGGAAAGAUCUAGCAAUAUUACAUGGGAGAAGUGAAUGAACAAAAUAUAGAUACAAAAACAAGCAAGCAAUCUUAGGAGAAAUCUCAGGAGGCUGAGCAGAAAGGUGUGCCCCAUGAUGGUAGCCUCCUAUAAACUGGACCCAAAGUCUUCCAUGAAGUAAAACCACCAAUUACCACCCUUUACCCUCUUUGACAAAAAUGUACUCUUUAUAGACCUCUGGGUCAGAUCAGGUCAAUGAAUUCAUGCUUUAAUCACCACUUUCCUCCAAACACAUAGCAAUGGAAGUGCUUCAUGCAAAAAGGGGCCUUAUCGUUUUAUACGCAACCUGAAGCCAGGGGUUGUGUCAACUUGGGCUGAGCUGGGCUAGAUGCCCUCUAAGACAGGAGUGAGCAGAGAAGUACAGAGCAAAGGGAAUGAUACAAAACCAAAAACUACUUCCCAGUCAAAAGGGCUUACAAACUAAUUCCAAAAUACAUGAGGAAAUGGGUUAGAAGAACUAUCAACAAAAAUAAUUAGUACAUGAAUUCACUUUGGGUAACAUUUUUAAAGAACAAAGACUUUCAGGAGAAAAAAAAAAUCUACUAAAAAAGGACUCCAAAAGUGAUAAAAUAAGCACAUGCCUUAAAUGAAAUGAAAUCAAAUAAAUUUGAAAUAAAAAUAAUUAGAAAUCCUGAAAAAAUAUAAUUGAAGCAAAUUACAGGAGGGGUAAAUUUUAGAUUAGAUAUAAUUAAAUAGAGAAUUAGUGAGUAGAAGUAAGUCCCUGAAAAAAAAAAAAAGUAAGUCCUUGAGAACUUUCCCCAAAUGAAGAUCAGACCUAAAGAGAUAAAAGAAAUAAAAUGCAAAGGAAUGGUCUAGAAACUGUGGAAGAUAUGAUGGCUCAGAGUUUUCUAAAAUAAAUAAAGUCCUAGGAUUGACAGUCUAGUCUGAGUAUCUUUAAAAAUAUAUCUGUACUUAAAAAAAAAAAAAAAAUAUAUAUAUAUAUAUAUACACACACACACACAUAUAUAUAUAUAUGUAUAGGAAAUAAGUAAAAAUUUGUCUCUAUUUAUAGGUCACUUAACUGUCUAUAUAGAAACUCCAGAAGACACAGACAUUUUUAGAAUAAGAGUUCAGCAAAGUUGCUAGAUAGAAGAUCAAUAUUAAAAAAAUCAACAGCAUUACUACUCCAGUAAUAACAAACAAAAAUGUAGUAAUGACAAAUACUUGAAAUUCAAUAGCACAAGAAACUAUAAGCCCUCUUAGAAAAGGUUUUAAACAUGUGUAAAACCUCUAUAGAAAAAAUUAGGACAUAAUAUUGAAGGAUAUAUUCAAAGACAUGAAUUAAUGGAGAGGCAUGUAACAGGUUCAUGGAUGGGAAGAUUCAAUAAACUAAUCUCAAUAUUUCACCCCUGUUAAUCUAUAAUUUCAGGACUUCCCUGGUGGUCCAUUGCUAACUCUGUGCUCAGAAUGCAGGGGGUCCUGGGUUUGAUCCUUGGUGAGGGAACUAGAUCCCGCAUGUUGCACCUAAGAGUUCACAUGCCUCA